rnacentral:rRNA from 1 species
UAGAGUUUGAUCAUGGCUCAGAGCGAACGCUGGCGGUAUGCUUAACACAUGCAAGUCGAGCGAGAAAGUGGCUUCGGCCACGAGUACAGCGGCGGACGGGUGCGUAACACGUGGAUAAUCUGCCUUCAGGUCUGGGAUAACCCUGGGAAACUAGAGCUAAUACCGGAUAAGACCACAGGUUCCAUGGAACCAAGGGUAAAAGGCGGCCUUCGGGCUGUCUCCUGAAGAUGAGUCCGCGUCCCAUCAGGUUGUUGGUGAGGUAACGGCUCACCAAGCCGAAGACGGGUAGCCGAGCGUAGCGGGUGAUCGGCCACACGGGGACUGAGACACGGCCCCGACUCCUACGGGAGGCAGCAGUGGGGAAUCUUGGGCAAUGGGCGAAAGCCUGACCCAGCAAUACCGCGUGAGGGAUGAAGGCCUUCGGGUCGUAAACCUCUGUCAGCAGGAACGAUGGGUCUCCGUGCUAAUACCACGGAACUUGACGGUACCUGCAAAGGAAGCCCCGGCUAACUCCUUGCCA